AGCCGAGAAAUCUUUUCUGGGCAAAGGUAAAUGUAUGCGUAAGCAUCACUUACCCACAUCUUACAUGUACCGUUGCUCAGAGACGGUCUCGCGCUAUCAUCG
rnacentral:pre_miRNA from 1 species